GUCUAUGUCCCUACCACCAUGAUGUGCCCAAUCUUGUCUGAUCUUAGAAGUGAGGCAGGUCAGACCUGGUUAGUAUUUGGGUAGGAAAAUAGAUAUUUUAAGGUAAAAUACACA
rnacentral:rRNA from 1 species